AAGGAAACACCAAUGCCCGUACGAUCACCAAAGUUAAGCAAUGUCGAGCCUGAUCAGUAACUAGAUGGGUGACCGCUUGGGAAUUACCACGUGGUGUAAG